GACGAACGCUGGCGGCGUGCCUAAUACAUGCAAGUAGAACGCUGAAGCUUGGUGCUUGCACCGAGCGGAUGAGUUGCGAACGGGUGAGUAACGCGUAGGUAACCUGCCUGGUAGCGGGGGAUAACUAUUGGAAACGAUAGCUAAUACCGCAUAAUAGUAGAUGUUGCAUGACAUUUGCUUAAAAGGUGCAAUUGCCUCACUACCAGAUGGACCUGCGUUGUAUUAGCUAGUUGGUGAGGUAACGGCUCACCAAGGCAACGAUACAUAGCCGACCUGAGAGGGUGGACGAGCACACCGGGAAUGGAGCACGGGCCAGACUCCUACGGGGGGCAACAGGAGGGAAACUUCGGCAAUGGAGGGAAGUCUGACCGAGCAACGCCGCGGUGGUGGAGAAGGUUUUCGGGUCGGAAAGCUCUGUUGUAAGGGAAGAAAGAGUGUGAGGGUAGAAAGUUCACACUGUGACGGUAUCUUACCAGAAAGCGACGGCUAACUACGUG
rnacentral:rRNA from 1 species